UUACGGCCACAUCACAUUAAAACACCGGUUUCCGUAAGAUCACCGAAGUUAGGCAACGUCGAGCCUGCUCAGUACUCAAAUGGGUGACCGCUUGGGAAUACCACGUGCUGUAAG